rnacentral:rRNA from 1 species
GACGAACGCUGGCGGCGCGCCUAACACAUGCAAGCCGAGCGAUGAAAGUUGUUCAGAUCCUUCGGGUGACGAACUUCCGGAUUAGCGGCGAACGGGUGAGUAACGCGUGAGGAACCUGCCUCUCACAACGGGAUAGCCUCGGGAAACCGGGAUUAAUACCGUAUGACACUAUCAGAUGGCAUCAUCAGGUAGUUAAAGUGCUAGCGGUGAGAGAUGGCCUCGCGUCUGAUUAGUUAGUUGGUGGGGUAACGGCCUACCAAGACGACGAUCAGUAACCGGCCUGAGAGGGUGAACGGUCACAUUGGAACUGAGACACGGUCCAAACUCCUACGGGAGGCAGCAGUGGGGAAUCUUGCACAAUGGGGGAAACCCUGAUGCAGCGACGCCGCGUGAGCGAUGAAGGUUUUCGAAUCGUAAAGCUCUGUCCUAUGGGAAGAUAAUGACGGUACCAUAGGAGGAAGCCCCGGCUAACUACGUGCCAGCAGCCGCGGUAAUACGUAGGGGGCGAGCGUUGUCCGGAAUUACUGGGCGUAAAGGGUUCGCAGGCGGCAUGACAAGUCCGAUGUAAAAGGCGAAAGCUCAACUUUCGUAAGCAUCGGAAACUGUCAAGCUUGAGUGAAGGAGAGGCAAGUGGAAUUCCUAGUGUAGCGGUGGAAUGCGUAGAUAUUAGGAGGAAUACCGGUGGCGAAGGCGACUUGCUGGACUUCAACUGACGCUGAGGAACGAAAGCGUGGGUAGCAAACAGG